rnacentral:rRNA from 1 species
UACGUAGGGUGCAAGCGUUAAUCGGAAUUACUGGGCGUAAAGCGUGCGCAGGCGGUUAUGUAAGACAGAUGUGAAAUGCCCGGGCUUAACCUGGGAACUGCAUUUGUGACUGCAUGGCUAGAGUUUGGCAGAGGGGGGUAGAAUUCCACGUGUAGCAGUGAAAUGCGUAGAUAUGUGGAGGAACACCGGUGGCGAAGGCGGCUACCUGGACAGAAACUGGACGCUGAGGCGCGAAAGCUAGGGGAGCAAACAGG